GUUUUCAGGAAAAAGUACACCCUUGUUUGUGAAACGACAUGCUCUUCCUCAGAAAAAUGGCCUUUUCAUCAGUUCCUACAGUUUUCUACCUUUCCUCAUUUUAAUUGCCGUCACUGGUCUUAAAUGGAAUAAAAUGAAGGAAUUUUGGCACUGAGCAAAAAGUGUAAGUGGAAAAAGUCAGCAGUAGUAGCAGCAACAGUAACAGCAGUAGUGACAGCAACCAGUCAUAGAGUAACUACAUGACAACAUCAAAAGCCAUAAGACAGAGAAAGGAUAUUACCAAGAAAUUUACCAUUAACUAGUUUGAUUCAACAAUGAAAACAAAAAUCGCCUUUUUUCUCCUUUCAUUAUGGCUUAAAGCUUUCAAUUGCACAAACAAAAUAAAUUCUAUGACAGAAAGUA